rnacentral:sRNA from 1 species
CGUCCAUACUCUAACCGGUUGCUUUAUUAACUUUACACUACUGUCGGAAGGCACCCACACACAGCCUUCCUUCGCUUUCUCCCAGGCCUGAUGCUUUCACGUGUCUUCUCACAUCGUUUUUGUCAUUAAUGUCUUCCAACAAGGCCUGAUUUACAAGUGUAGAGCCACAAUUUCGCUGACCCAUCUUAGAAGGAAGUACAAUUCCAGAUACUCCUCCUUUGCUUCCGCUAUCUAUAAAGUCUGAAUCUUAAGUGAUACAAGCACAAGUGACAGGCAUGAUGAGCAUAAGCUAGAACGUACUCCCUCACGCAGUCUCCAUCCAUCCAAGCUAUAUGGAGCAUUUCCUUUCACCAUCCUUGUUACUCGAGAACCUUGCUCGACGAUGAAUCCGUGAUCGGAAAGAGAUUGCAACAGAAGAGAUUACUCGUGAGUGGACCGAAGUAUGGGAUUUGACGGAUGCCUUGCUGUCGCCAGCAGUAGUAGCUGCCGAUUCUGAGCGCAUGGUACUCUUUACUGUGGAGGAUGCAGUGCAUUUACAAACACCAUUACCCCCCUAUCAUUCGCCUUCCUCGAGUGAGAAGGCUAAUCAGAAUCGGAUGAAGAAAGGGCGGGAAAUGAAAGGAGAGGGCGUCCUAAAAGAAGGAUUCCGAAGGAAGGCACCAUUCUUAUGUUAAUGCCUAGAGGUCUGGCGACGCGAUCGCACAAAAUCCAGAAAGUUCAGGUCACAUUGACAGCUAUAGCAACAUCACACAAAACCCAAAUUCCAAACCAGCUCAAACCAGCCCAAACCACUUUAGCUACUCAUCUUCCUUAUCUUUCCUUGCAAAAACAACACCCCACUCCUCCAACCCCUUUUUGAAAUCAUCAACCACAACCCCCACCUCAUCCAACGUUAAUCUACACUCCACACAUCGAUGUUGUCCACAAAGAUCGCUUGACAGCCACUUUCGCCUUGUCGAUGCCUCAGUCUUAGCAGAGUUUGAGGUUCCCGGAUGAGGGUCCAUUGCGGCGUCCUUGGACGGGGAGGUAAGAGGGGAAGUGGGAGGGUAUCCGCGCAACUUGUAGCAGGUGCAGAUCUCUCUUGACGCGGCAGGCAACCGAGAGUCAAAUGAUGCUCCGCAAAUAACCGUCAUGUUCUCAGUCGUGCCUUUCACGCGAUGUAAACCCGGGAACGUCCAUUGACAUGUAGAAGAUGGAUGCGUGCGAGAGGUUUUGUCAGCCUAUCCCAUAGGCUCGUUA